GCGAAGUGCCGGGCAGCGGAGGUGGUAAGACGGAGGGUGCAAGCGUUACGCGGAAUGACUUGGCGUAAAGGACUCGUAGGCUGGUUAGCAAGUCAGGUGUGAAAUCCUAUGGCGCAACCAUAGAACUGCACGUGAAACUGCUAGACUAGAGUAUGGAAGGGGCAGAUGGAAGUAGUGGUGUAGGGGUAAAAUCCGUAGAUAUCACUAGGAAUACCGAAAGCGAAGGCGAUCUGCUGGGACAUUACUGACGCUGAGGCGCGAAAGCGUGGGGAGCAAACAGGAUUAGAUACCCUGGUAGUC
rnacentral:rRNA from 1 species